rnacentral:rRNA from 1 species
AACGGUCAUACCAUACUGAAAUCACCGGUUCUCAUCCUAUCACCGAAGUUAAGAUCAUCGGGCGCGGUCAAUACUUGGGAGGGUGACCUCCUGGGAACACUGCGUGUCGUUG